rnacentral:rRNA from 1 species
GCAAGCGUUAUCCGGAUUUCCUGGGUUUAAAGGGUGCGUAGGUGGUUCUGUAAGUCCGUGGUGAAAUCUCCGGGCUUAACCCGGAAACUGCCAUUGAUACUAUAGGUCUUGAAUUAUCUGGAGGUGAGCGGAAUAUGUCAUGUAGCGGUGAAAUGCUUAGAUAUGACAUAGAACACCAAUUGCGAAGGCAGCUCACUACGGAUAUAUUGACACUGAGGCACGAAAGCGUGGGGAUCAAACAGG